rnacentral:rRNA from 1 species
UUGCACCUGGUGGCGAGUGGCGAACGGGUGAGUAAUACAUCGGAACAUGUCCUGUAGUGGGGGAUAGCCCGGCGAAAGCCGGAUUAAUACCGCAUACGAUCUACGGAUGAAAGCGGGGGACCUUCGGGCCUCGCGCUAUAGGGUUGGCCGAUGGCUGAUUAGCUAGUUGGUGGGGUAAAGGCCUACCAAGGCGACGAUCAGUAGCUGGUCUGAGAGGACGACCAGCCACACUGGGACUGAGACACGGCCCAGACUCCUACGGGAGGCAGCAGUGGGGAAUUUUGGACAAUGGGCGAAAGCCUGAUCCAGCAAUGCCGCGUGUGUGAAGAAGGCCUUCGGGUUGUAAAGCACUUUUGUCCGGAAAGAAAUCCUUGGCUCUAAUACAGUCGGGGGAUGACGGUACCGGAAGAAUAAGCACCGGCUAACUACGUGCCAGCAGCCGCGGUAAUACGUAGGGUGCGAGCGUUAAUCGGGAAUUACUGGGCGUAAAGCGUGCGCAGGCGGUUUGCUAAAGACCGAUGUGAAA